rnacentral:rRNA from 1 species
AUUGAACGCUGGCGGCAGGCCUAACACAUGCAAGUCGAACGAGUGGCGGACGGGUGAGUACUGUCUGGAAAACUGCCCGAUGGAGGGGGAUAACUACUGGAACCGGUAGCUAAUACCGCAUACCAUCGGAUUUGCACAGAUGGGAUUAGCUUGUGGGUGAGGUAACGGCUCACCUAGGAGACGAUCCCUAGCUGGUCUGCGAGGAUGACCAGCCACAGUGGAACUGAUACACGGUCCAGACUCCUAUGGUAGGCAGCAGUUGGGAAUAUGGGACAAGGGGCGUAAGCCUGAGGCAGCAAUGCCGCGGGGAUGAAGAAGGCCUUCGGGUUGUAAAGUACUUUAAGCGGGGAGGCGUUACCCGUAGAAGAAGCCCCGGCUAACUCCGUGCCAGCAGCCGCGGUAAUUC